UUGAGGGAAAAGCAUAGGGAAUGAAUUUUUAUAGAGUGUGGUGAAUUGCUCGAGGAAUAGCAAUGAUUUAAGUCUGGGUGUUGAUAAUAGGCUAUGUAGUUGUUAUUUACACCAUAAUUAUCCAUUCUAUGUUGUUGUUUUGUAAUGUAAAUUGCCAAUAAAAUACUUUAAUUGAUGCUAAUUGGUUUCGCAGGGAAUACAAGAUGCGAGGAAGCAAAAAUGGAGUGUUUAGAGGCAACAACGUGAAGAAAAUACCCACUCAAGAAGUACCCGAACACAAAAGAGCAUAAAGAGAAGAAAUGCGAAGACUAAAACCCAAACAGGGCUCCCUGCGGUUGCCACUACGGUCUGCGCCACGGUUGGAGGCAGAAGGCUCCGCGAUCAGCACCGCGACGCCGCGGCCAGUUCCAAAACUAGAAAUUCGAGGGUCAAAGUGUAAAUUCGGGGAACCUUUUUGUAAAACCCUUAAAAGUUGUAGAAACCCGCCCAAGAGAGGCUAAGCUUGUUUUGAGAUUACUUUGGAAAGAG
rnacentral:lncRNA from 1 species